rfam:Helianthus annuus linkage group 14, whole genome shotgun sequence.
UUGCUUACCGGUGCGGCAUCUUCAAGAUUCACAUGCUUGUCAACUCUACACGGUUACUGGCUACUGAGAAUCUUGAUGAUGCUGCAUCGGAAAUCAA